rnacentral:rRNA from 1 species
UACCAGCACCCCCGAGUGGUCGGGACGAUUAUUGGGCCUAAAAGCAUCCGUAGCUUGUUCUGCAAGUCCUCCGUUAAAUCCGCCUGCUUAACAGAUGGGCUGCGGAAGAUACUAUGGAGCUAGGAGGCGGGAGAGGCAAGCGGUACUCGAUGGGUAGGGGUAAAAUCCGUUGAUCCAUUGAAGACCACCAGUGGCGAAGGCGGCUUGCCAGAACGCGCUCGACGGUGAGGGAUGAAAGCUGGGGGAGCAAACCGG